UAGUCUUACAGUGCAUUUAAUGCGAUUAAUGCAUUUUCUCGUCCUUGUUCUGAUUCUGGUGCCCAAGUGAAAGGUUGUGUUCGGAUACAUAUCGGAGUGUUAUUUUACCUCAGCACCAGCCGAAGCUCAAUGAUGCAGUGGCGACGCAAGCGCUGGAGACUUCCGGUUCUGUGCCCUUAGGGCACCGGCCAGAACGUCCCAGCUUUGAAGAGAAUCGCAAAUUCAUUUUAACCGAUGGACUCCGGAUAGCAACUUUACAUGUGCACAUGCAUUGUCCAAACAAAAUGGUUGCCUGCAGAAUGGGUUCCCGAGAUGCGCCACCGUUCAAUGAUUUUGAGAACAAUACAAAUUGUAGUGUUUAAGCUUGUAGGCUAUAUGUGUGUAUGUUAAUAAACUAUGUCUGUGGAAUUACAA